rnacentral:rRNA from 1 species
UACGUAGGGGGCUAGCGUUGUCCGGAUUUAUUGGGCGUAAAGAGCGUGUAGGCGGCCAGGUAGGUCUGCUGUGAAAAGUCGAGGCUCAACCUCGAGACGUCGGCGGAAACCAUCUGGCUAGAGUCCGGAAGAGGAGAGUGGAAUUCCUGGUGUAGCGGUGAAAUGCGCAGAUAUCAGGAAGAACACCCGUGGCGAAGGCGGCUCUCUGGGACGGUACUGACGCUGAGACGCGAAAGCGUGGGGAGCGAACAGG